CAGAAUCCCAGUCAGAGAGAUCCUGCUGAUUUACACUAUACAACCAUAUGAAUUAUGUACAGGCCCAUGUUUCUAACUGAAGUGAUGGCAUAACAGUGAUUAAAUAUGAAUCUACAUUGAAGUGUGUGUGUGUAGAGUACAGGGUGUGGGUUCUGGAGCCGCGGCUGGUCCAGCAGUACACAGCCAGUGUUUCCAUACUGAAUAAGAACUUCUCGGUGAGUCUGUCGAGUCACGAGAGCCCAGAGUUCAGAGCGGCGGCUGCGUCUGUGCAGAACAUGAUGGAGAAGCUGCUGAAGUCCACAGACCUGUCCAGAUACUUCAACUCCAGCGCAGUGUUUGCGUUCGGGAACGGCAGUGUUGUGGCUCAUCUCUGGCUGCGUCUGUCGGUUCCUAGCAGUCGUGUGGAGACGGUGAGCGUCCAGCGUCUGAACGAGAGCGUGUUCAGAGAACUGCAGCGCUUCAGCGACGCUCAGCAGAUCAGCAGAUACGAGGGUUUCCAUCUGCGUCUGCCCUCGCUCAGCUUCACCGGUAACACCAUCAGACGCACUCGUGUCCACUUCAC
rnacentral:lncRNA from 12 species